GACAUGACAAUAGGUUUGCUUAUGUUACUUUUACCUUUGUGAAACAUGAGAAGGAUCAAUAAGGUAUGCUUAGAUAUGCAUAAACAAGUUCAAUUUUCUUCAAUGUGAUAUAUGAUUGCAGGCUAUAUAUAGGGAGAAUAUCAAAUAAAAGUAACUACAAGUGCCCUGGCCUUGUUGCUAACCAGCAGGUACAACGAAUUAGGAAAAAUACGUGUCCAAGCCAUCUAAUUAAGGUAUUACUAUUAUAUAAUUUAUUUCUUUGUUCCCUUUUUUCUUCAACCUGGGGUGGNAGUACUUUUGUUGAUUUCCCAAGCUUAUUGCCUCGUGAAGUCUGGUGAGGGACCAGAAGAUCAAAAGCUAAAUCAACUCUGAAUCAAUGGUAAUAUUACCACUUCCCACCAAGGUAAUUCUUUUCAUUAUACAUAGUUGUUUGAACAUGUUAUGUUGACAUCCAAUUAUAUUACUAAUUGACUGGAGAGAAUAAUGAACCAAAGUUUUAUUGAUCAAUAUUUUGUGAGUUAUAUUUGUUGUGAGUUUUAGAGUUUAAAGUGUUAUCUUUGAUGAAUGGUAUGAUCCAGAAAGCUUUGAAAAGCCAUUCCUUGUAUGCAUAUCUGAAUUUUAUGCUGCUGAAGGUGUGAAAUACAUGCAUCAAUCAGAUGCUCCAGAUUAUUUGAAGCAUGUGGAGGUGUUUUCUUUUUCAUAGUCCGUUGUAUUAUUUUAUUGGCUUUAGUUUUUUACUAAAUUGUUUAAUAAAUGGAUUNUGUCAUUCAAUAUCAGAGUUUGAUCUUAUAAAAGUUAUCUUUCUUUUUCAAUUCUUCCCUUGCNCAUAUUGUGUACUUAUUGCAGGGAUGUUUGUGGGUGCUUCUUCUGCAGAUAUGAUUGCAAGAAGAACAUGAAAGAUGUUUGAUUUUCCAGAUAAGACUGUCCACAUUAGUCCAAGUCUUUCUUCAGCACUUAGCAAGUUUUAGUGGAUACGACCCUCACCGGGAUCGUGCCAGUCUCGGGUAUAUAUUAUCANGCUUCCCAUUGAAAUUGUUUGGCACCCUUGCUUUUCCAAAGGAGAGGUGUUGUUGUGUUAGUUUUCAUUUAAUAAAUAUCCCAAGACAGAAAGCCCCAGCCAAUCUUCUGGAAAUAUCUCAACCUAAUAUAGGCAUGAAUAAGAAUUGUUACUGCUGUAUGAUUAUGUUUUGUACUAUAAAGAAUCUUCUGAAUGUUGAUCGGGUGAUGAUUGAGGUUGGAAGAACUGGUGGUAAUUUGUUAUUGUCAACGAUGAUCGCUUUUUCUUUGGAAUCUUCAUCCUUUCCAUAACCAUUGUCUAAAGCAAUCGCAUCCGUAACAUUUUAUCAUACAAUUAUAUUCGUAUAUCCCAAACAAUAAUGGCACCAAAAAAUUGGAUUCAAUAAUAUACAAACCAAUCAAACAGUGUCAUGGAAGUAAAUAGAUAACAACCCUUACCGCAAAAAACGGAUUGAAACAACAUCGAGUAAUCAAUCCUGACAUCUUCAUUUCAUUAUGUACUAUCAUCCCGGUAGCAAACAACAUAACCUAUUCCAAAAAUAAAUCAAAGUUAGAGACUCACAGAAUUGGUUGCUAUAAUA